rnacentral:tRNA from 1 species
AAUAAAUAAGAAGCAAUUUGCAUUUAAUUUCGACUUAAAAGAGAGAGUAAAUAUUACUCCUUAU